GACGAACGCUGGCGGCGUGCUUAACACAUGCAAGUCGAACGGUAAGGCUCCAGCUUGCUGGGGUACACGAGUGGCGAACGGGUGAGUAACACGUGGGUGACCUGCCCUGCACUUCGGGAUAAGCCUGGGAAACUGGGUCUAAUACCGGAUAGGACCGCACCGUGAGGGUGUGGUGGAAAGUUUUUUCGGUGUGGGAUGGGCCCGCGGCCUAUCAGCUUGUUGGUGGGGUAAUGGCCUACCAAGGCGGCGACGGGUAGCCGGCCUGAGAGGGUGGACGGCCACAUGGGGACUGAGACACGGCCCAGACUCCUACGGGAGGCAGCAGUGGGGAGUAUUGCACAAUGGGCGGAAGCCUGAUGCAGCGACGCCGCGUGGGGGAUGACGGCCUUCGGGUUGUAAACUCCUUUCACCAUCGACGAAGGGUUUCUGACGGUAGAUGGAGAAGAAGCACCGGCUAACUACGUG
rnacentral:rRNA from 1 species